GACGAACGCUGGCGGCGUGCUUAACACAUGCAAGUCGAACGGUGAAGCGCCUUCCUUUUUGGUGGGUGUGGAUGGGUGGCGAACGGGUGAGUAACACGUGAGUAACCUGCCCCCUUCUUCUGGAUAACCGCAUGAAAGUGUGGCUAAUACGGGAUAUUCUGGGUCUGUCGCAUGAUGGGUCUGGGAAAGAUAUUGUUUCGGUGGGGGAUGGGCUCGCGGCCUAUCAGCUUGUUGGUGGGGUGAUGGCCUACCAAGGCGGUGACGGGUAGCCGGCCUGAGAGGGUGGACGGUCACACGGGGACUGAGACACGGCCCAGACUCCUACGGGAGGCAGCAGUGGGGAAUAUUGCACAAUGGGCGCAAGCCUGAUGCAGCGACGCCGCGUGAGGGAUGGAGGCCUUCGGGUUGUGAACCUCUUUCGCCAGUGAAGCAGGCCUGCCUCGUUUGUGGGUGGGUUGACGGUAGCUGGAUAAGAAGCGCCGGCUAACUACGUG
rnacentral:rRNA from 1 species